rnacentral:rRNA from 1 species
AGGAUGAACGCUGGCGGCGUGCCUAACACAUGCAAGUCGAACGUCCUGUCUCGCAAGAGGCAGGGAGUGGCGGACGGGUGAGUACCACGUGGGUCAUCUACCGUGAGGUGAGGAAUACCGGCGAGAAAUCGCCGACAAGACCGCAUAGGCUCGAUGCAAGUCGAGCAAAGCUCUUUCGAGAGAGGGAGCGCCACACGAGGAGCCUGCGCCCGAUUAGCUAGCUGGUGGAGUAACGGUUCACCAGGGCGACGAUCGGUAGCUGGUCUGAGAGGACGAUCAGCCACACUGGGAUUGAGAACGGCCCAGACUCCUACGGGGGCAGCAGUGAGGAAUUUUCGCAAUGGGGGCAACCCUGAACGAGCAACGCCGCGUGCAGGAGAAGGUUUCGGAUCGUAAACUGCUUUUCUCGGGGAAGAGAACGGACGGUACCGAGGAAUCAGCCCGGCUAACUACGCGCCAGCAGCCGCGGU